rnacentral:lncRNA from 1 species
AACUCAUUGUCUAAACACUGUAAUCGUGGAGGAUAUCAAAACUUGGCAAAGUGGAGAAGAUUGUUCUGUGCCAUGCAUCAUGAGGUCAUGACCAUCAGUGAAGACUGUCAGAGCCCUCAGUGGCCAGAUGACCCGCGUGCAUCAACUGGCGUGGUGUCACUGAAUUGGAGAUCUCUCCUUGUGUUCCAGGAGUAAACACAUGGAAGAUGUCAUAGACACACAGAAGGGAAUGCUGUGUGAGGUCGUAGCGAGGACUCUCCUCUUCAGACCAGGGCAGGGAACCCAGCACACCAGAGGGAUAUGGCACCUGCAUAACUGCUUCAGUGUUUUUGUUAUUAUUGUUGUUUUUUAUCAAAAUAAAGCAUUGUUUGCUUUGAUUCUCAUUCAGAAUUUUCUUGAAGAUACAUUCCAUCCUUUGAAUUAUAGAAAAUUCCUGUAUUUCAAUGAGGCGAGGACAUAUUCACAGGAAAAUGGAGUUCCCUUAUACGUAUGAAUCUUCUUGUGUCCAUUAAGGAGAUAUGGCAAGACAAACUUUUCCUCAGCACACUCCACAGACAUCCACUGUUAACUCUUCCUGCUUCCAAUGUCCUAGUUCAACAUGUCAGUUCUGGCACUCCAAAAAAUUCUAGAUGGAAGGCCUGUUCCAGGAGGGAACUCCUACCAUGGAAACUACGGUGUGAUAUGAACGAGGUGUGACAGACAGCGAGGAACCCAGAGAGGCCGGGUGGAUCACAGUCCUCUCUGUCUCCAAAGUCUCUGCCAGGUACGGCAAACAAUUAUUUACCAAACAUUUACUUUCCCAUCUCCACAUGAAUUGACCCUGGAAGUCCCAGACCCCCACCGCCAACAUCCCCUGUGUCUUCAGCUUGAGUUGGUAAUUAAGGUGGUGGCUUCAGCCGUUUUGGUGAGUUACUCAGUUUUCCUAGGUUUCUCCCAUGCAUACAUGUUAUUAAACUUUGUUUUCUUUUUCUCCUUUUUUCUGUCUUAUGUCAGUUUAACUCUUAGAACAGCCAGAAGAACCUAGAAGAAUAGAGGGAAAAUUCUUCCCCCCCAUCCUAUGUAGGGAUUCAGCUUCUAAUAGCCCCUUCUUUCCGGAUUUUGAGCCUCUGGCUGCAG